rnacentral:rRNA from 1 species
UACAGAGGGUGCAAGCGUUAAUCGGAAUUACUGGGCGUAAAGCGUGCGUAGACGGUUCUUUAAGUCAGGUGUGAAAGCCCCGGGCUCAACCUGGGAAUUGCAUUUGAGACUGAAUAGCUAGGGUGCGGAAGAGGGAAGCGGAAUUUCCGGUGUAGCGGUGAAAUGCGUAGAUAUCGGAAGGAACACCAGUGGCGAAAGCGGCUCGCUGGACCGGUACUGACGCUGAGACGCGAAAGCCAGGGGAGCAAACGGG